rnacentral:rRNA from 1 species
AUUGAACGCUGGCGGCAUGCCUUACACAUGCAAGUCGAACGGUAACAGGUCUUCGGAUGCUGACGAGUGGCGAACGGGUGAGUAAUACAUCGGAACGUGCCUAGUAGUGGGGGAUAACUACUCGAAAGAGUGGCUAAUACCGCAUGAGAUCCACGGAUGAAAGCAGGGGAUCGCAAGACCUUGUGCUACUAGAGCGGCCGAUGGCAGAUUAGGUAGUUGGUGGGAUAAAAGCUUACCAAGCCGACGAUCGGUAGCUGGUCUGAGAGGACGAUCAGCCACACUGGGACUGAGACACGGCCCAGACUCCUACGGGAGGCAGCAGUGGGGAAUUUUGGACAAUGGGCGCAAGCCUGAUCCAGCAAUGCCGCGUGCAGGAUGAAGGCCUUCGGGUUGUAAACUGCUUUUGUACGGAACGAAAAGCCCUGGGUUAAUACCCUGGGGUCAUGACGGUACCGUAAGAAUAAGCACCGGCUAACUACGUGCCAGCCGCCGCCGUAAGAC